rnacentral:tRNA from 1 species
GCCGGGGUGGCGUAGUUGGUAGCGCGUCGGACUCAUAGGGCAGCCUGAAGGCGAUCGUAUGACGUGCAAACCCCCUUGUGGUGUCUGAGACAUCCGAAGGUCGCGGGUUCGAGCCCCGCUCCCGGCA